rnacentral:lncRNA from 1 species
AUGAACACACCCUUAAACGUAAGGAGACCCAGACAUAAUGCCUAUGCUGCAGUGAUGGAGAGGUCAUCCCAAGGACAAGCAGAGGCCCUUCCGGGAGAGGCUGACCACCAGGCUUUCCAAGUGCAACUCUCCUUUCUCUUUGUGAAAAAUCUGGCUUGCCUAUGUUUUCCACAUAGUAUUCCCUUUCUGAAAUGCAAAUUCACACUCUUAUUUCAAAUCCAGGUGAAUACUCAGCACAUCGAAUCACUUGUUUCAAGGCCAGGCAUAGAGUAGCGACCUAUCCAGUGAUGACAUUUUUUAGAUGUAUUGGGUCUUGAAAAGGUGUUUGAAACAAGAAUCAAAUUAAAAAAAUGAGUGGUUACAUAUGUGUAACUGACUCCGUUGCAAGCCAUUAAAAAGGAAUGUGUUGAGGCCGCCAUUUGCCUCAAUUCCAGAGACCCUUUCUUUGCGAGCUUGAAUGGAGUCUGGGCCGUGUUCUUGGCUGUUUGGGUAUGGCAUUGCCCGUUCUGUUUGAAUUGGGGGCAGGACUCACCUUGGAAUCACAGUCCAGGGUUCCCAUUUGUGAGAAACAUGAUCGCAGAGGUAAUUAUUUGACUGCUGAAAUAUUACUUUUCAAACACGAGCCCUCCUAUUUUUUUUUUUACAAGGUCUGUAUCUAUUUUAUCUAAACCAGCAGUAGUCAUAACAGCCAUCUCUCUUCUAAGGGAGAAAUGAGCUAUCAGUUUUUCUCAGGCUUGAGCAUUCUCCCACCUGUCCUCAAUUUAAUGCACAAAUGAAAGCACAUAAAUCUUUGUGACGUUUUGGCAUAAAGCACCUACUUCAGAUGACUCCUUUAGGAAACUCUGAACCCAGGUGUUUGGUUUUUGCAUAAACUUUGCAAAAUGAGAAUUGUAACACGACUGUGUGUACACACACAUACAUACACACGCACCUCCCCUGAAAGGUGGUUGCAUAUGAAAUGUGGAGAGCCAAAGGGAUGUGGCUGGGGGUAGGGGAAUAACAUGUGUGCAAACUUAAUAUAUCUUUUCCUCACCUUAAGUUGGACCCAGACAGUUAAAUUAUAAUUACAGCCCCAUCUGGAGGGGGAGAAAGUACAGUACUCAAGUGCUCCAAGAUUUUCAGCCAUGGGCACUUUGUCAGGUAAAAUAAACACAUGUCCCGUUUUCA